rnacentral:rRNA from 1 species
UGUAAGCGUAUACCAAAGUUGUUGCAGUUAAAACGCUCGUAGUCGGACUUUGGCAGUUCCGGAUGUGUGCACGUCGUGUGCGCACUUCGCGGGGAUUGCUUUUGUGGUCUUGCGUAGGAUGAGGCACUUUUAUUAGUGAACGUCCUCACGCAACCACUUUUUACUGUGAGAAAAUCUGAGUGCUCAAAGCAGGCAUUUGCCGUGAAUGUAUUAGCAUGGAAUAAUAGAAUAGGACUUGGUUCUAUUUUGUUGGUUUGUUGGGACUGAGUAAUGAUUAAGAGGGACAGUUGGGGGCAUUUGUAUUUCGGUGCUAGAGGUGAAAUUCUUAGAUUACCGAAAGACAAACUGCUGCGAAAGCGUCUGCCAAGGAUGUUUUCAUUGA